AGAGUUUGAUCCUGGCUCAGGAUGAACGCUAGCUACAGGCUUAACACAUGCAAGUCGAGGGGAAACGACAUCGAAAGCUUGCUUUUGAUGGUCGUCGACCGGCGCACGGAUGAGUAACGCGUAUCCAACCUACCCAUCACUUGGGGAUAACCUUGCGAAAGUAAGACUAAUACCCAAUGAUAUCUCUAGAAGACAUCUGAAAGAGAUUAAAGAUUUAUCGGUGAUGGAUGGGGAUGCGUCUGAUUAGCUUGUUGGCGGGGUAACGGCCCACCAAGGCAACGAUCAGUAGGGGUUCUGAGAGGAAGGUCCCCCACAUUGGAACUGAGACACGGUCCAAACUCCUACGGGAGGCGGCA
rnacentral:rRNA from 1 species